rnacentral:rRNA from 1 species
CUACGGGCGGCACCAGUGGGGAAUAUUGGACAAUGGGCGCAAGCCUGAUCCAGCCAUGCCGCGUGGAUGAUGAAGGCCCUAGGGUUGUAAAGUCCUUUCGGCGGGGAAGAUAAUGACGGUACCCGCAGAAGAAGCCCCGGCUAACUUCGUGCCAGCAGCCGCGGUAAUACGAAGGGGGCUAGCGUUGCUCGGAAUCACUGGGCGUAAAGCGCACGUAGGCGGCUUCUUAAGUCAGGGGUGAAAUCCUGGAGCUCAACUCCAGAACUGCCUUUGAUACUGAGGAGCUCGAGUCCGGGAGAGGUGAGUGGAACUGCGAGUGUAGAGGUGAAAUUCGUAGAUAUUCGCAAGAACACCAGUGGCGAAGGCGGCUCACUGGCCCGGUACUGACGCUGAGGUGCGAAAGCGUGGGGAGCAAACAGGAUUAGAUACCCGAGUAGUC